UACGGGGGGGGUAAGCGUUGUUCGGAAUUACUGGGCGUAAAGGGCUCGUAGGCGGCCAACUAAGUCAGACGUGAAAUCCCUCAGCUUAACUGGGGAACUGCGUCUGAUACUGGAUGGCUUGGAUUUGGGAGAGGGAUGCGGAAUUCCAGGUGUAGCGGUGAAAUGCGUAGAUAUCUGGAGGAACACCGGUGGCGAAAGCGGCUUACUGGGUCUCAACUGACGCUGAUGCACGAAAGCUAGGGUAGCAAACGGG
rnacentral:rRNA from 1 species